GAAACCGGGAUAACAUGGCGAAAGCGGUGCUAAUACCGGAUGACAUUUCAAUCUCUUAGGAGAUUGAAAUCAAACAAUAGCCUCUCCUUGGAAGCUGUUGAUUGAGGAUGAGCCCGCGUACCAUUAGCUAGUUGGUAGGGUAACGGCCUACCAAGGCGACGAUGGUUAGCUGGUCUGAGAGGAUGAUCAGCCACACUGGAACUGACACACGGUCCAGACUCCUACGGGAGGCAGCAGUGAGGAAUUUUGCGCAAUGGGGGAAACCCUGACGCAGCAACGCCGCGUGAGUGAUGAAGGCUUUCGGGUCGUAAAGCUCUGUCAAGUGGAAAGAAAUUGCGGACAAUUAAUAGUUGUUCGUAUUGACGGUACCACUGAAGGAAGCACCGGCUAACUCCGUGCCAGCAGCCGCGGUAAUACGGGGGGUGCAAGCGUUAUUCGGAAUUAUUGGGCGUAAAGGGCGCGCAGGCGGUCUUGUAAGUCAGAUGUGAAAUCCCGGGGCUCAACCCCGGAACAGCAUUUGAAACUACAAGACUUGAGUAUGGGAGAGGGAAGUGGAAUUCCUGGUGUAGAGGUGAAA
rnacentral:rRNA from 1 species